rnacentral:rRNA from 1 species
AGCAGUCGCCGCGGGAAUACGAAGGGUGCAAGCGUUAAUCGGAAUUACUGGGCGUAAAGCGUGCGUAGGCGGUGAGUUAAGUCUGCUGUGAAAUCCCCGGGCUCAACCCUGGAAUUGCCUUUAAGACUGCCGAGCUAGUAGGUGAGAGAGGUGAGUGGAAUUCCGAGUGUAGAGGUGAAAUUCGUAGAUAUUCGGAAGAACACCAGUGGCGAAGGCGGCCAUCUGGGACAACACUGACGCUGAGGCACGAAAGCGUGGGGAGCAAACAGGAUUAGAUACCCCCGUAGUCCCUGUCUCUUAUAC